rnacentral:RNase_P_RNA from 1 species
UCAGGGGGCCAAGGCAGCCGCGGGCGCUCGCAAGAGUGCGCGAGGAAAGUCCGGGCUCCACGAAACAAGGGUGGCGGGUAACGCCCGCCGGGCUGCGGAGCUGCCUCAGCAAUGGGUGCGCCGAGCGGUCAAGGGAGAGUGCCACAGAGAGUAAACCGCCUCUCAACGGAGGUAAGGGUGAAAGGGUGCGGUAAGAGCGCACCGCGCGAGCAGCAAUGUGAGCGGCAUGGUAAACCCCACCCGGAGCAAGGCCAAAUAGGGGCGGCGCGCCGAGCAAUUGGCAGAUGCGUUUCGUAUCGACCGCCCGGGUUGGCUGCUUGAGCGGCGGAGCAAUCCGCCGCCUAGAGGAAUGGCUGCCCAUGCGGGGCUGGUGUUUUCAUACCGCCUGCAGGACAGAACCCGGCUUAACAGGCCCCCUGACGAC